rnacentral:pre_miRNA from 1 species
CAAAUAUUCCCUCCGUCCGGAAAUACUUGUCAUCAAAAUGGAUAAAAGGAAAUGUAUCUAGACGUAUUUUAGUUUUAGAUACAUCUCUUUUUAUCCAUUUUGAUGACAAGUAUUUUCGGACGGAGGGAGUAGAAA